ensembl:snoRNA
AGGUAAUAGCAUUGAAAGUUUUUCUCCUCAUUAUUUCUUAUGUGCUGUACAAAUAGUUGAAGGUUAAUUAGUGGUAUAAUUAUAGUAAUGCUGACAGUCUCCUUUGACAAGA